UUUGAUGAGAGUUUGAUCCUGGCUCAGGAUGAACGCUGGCGGCGUGCCUAAUACAUGCAAGUAGAACGCUGAAGAAAGAGCUUGCUCUUUUGGAAGAGUUGCGAACGGGUGAGUAACGCGUAGGUAACCUGCCUGGUAGCGGGGGAUAACUAUUGGAAACGAUAGCUAAUACCGCAUAAUAUCUUUGAUUGCAUGAUUGAAGUUUGAAAGAUGCAACUGCAUCACUACCAGAUGGACCUGCGUUGUAUUAGCUAGUAGGUGAGGUAAAGGCUCACCUAGGCGACGAUACAUAGCCGACCUGAGAGGGUG
rnacentral:rRNA from 1 species